rnacentral:rRNA from 1 species
UACGGAGGGUGCAAGCGUUAUCCGGAUUCACUGGGUUUAAAGGGUGCGUAGGUGGGCAGGUAAGUCAGUGGUGAAAUCUCUGGGCUUAACCCAGAAACUGCCGUUGAUACUAUCUGUCUUGAAUAUAGUGGAGGUGAGCGGAAAUAUGUCAUGUAGCGGUGAAAUGCUUAGAUAUGACAUAGAACACCCAUUGCGAAGGCAGCUCGCUACACUAUCAUUGACACUGAGGCACGGAAAGCGUGGGGAUCAA